GCUCCUCCUCCUCCUCCUCCUCCUUUUCCUCCUGCUCCUCCUGCUCCUCCUGCUCCUCCUGCUCCUGCUCCUGCUUCAGUUCAGCUCGGGAAAGAGCUGCCUCCCUGCAGUCUCUGACCUGACCUGUCCUCUCAGACUACAGCUCUAGGUGUGCCUCAGAUGCUCCUGCCUCUAGAAGCCACCUCCAGAUAACUGGGUCUGCUGUAAGCAUGGUGUCAAGGGUCUUAAACAUCCAGAUGAGUCCAGUCCUCUCAGACCUGGGCCUGAGAAAAAGUGGGAUGGCCUGGAAAGUCAGGUUAUGGGGAGUCACCUGAGAACUGGAUCUUUUUUCCUGGAUCUAGGCCUUGGUCUUACUAUAACAGUAAAUUCUCUUCCCUCCUGCCAUGGCAGUCCAGAGUGAAAGUGUGGACAGUUAAUGGUGGGAGGACAUUGUUCCAUGUAGGCAGUAGCCAGCAUCUCUGUGAAUAGUGGCUUUGCUGCCCCUCUGUGGGACUCCUGACAUGGUCCAGCAGACAGGGAAAGUUACAAGGUGUAUGUCUGAGCCAGGAUACAUCCCUUUGGUCAAAACUUGAUCUUGAGGUCACACCUUUUACAGAGGAGUCUGGGAAAUACCUAGUUGUUCCCCCAAGGGGGGAAAAAAAGACAACAUGCUGUUAUCAGUAGGCCGAACUCUCUGGUGUUGUAUUUUAACCAGAUAGCUGUUAACUCAUGAACAAAGUGCCUCCCCUGUAGUUAGAGUCCCAGUCUCUUGGCUCUUUUGCCAGCUCCCAGUCAGUACUUGGACUUGGCUGACUUGGAGAGUGUCACUCUUCUUGUGAUUAGAAGUGAAGGUGAGGGCUCACCUUGUCAGCCACUGCUGUGGCCGAGCAUUGCCGGCUAUGAAAAUGCUGAUCCUGGGCUGGGUGUGCCACACAGGUGGCUCUGGAGCCCUCUUGUCUGUGUGCUAGUAGACAAACGGGGAACAGCUCCCAUGUGGUGACAGCAACUCCCGGCUUGGCAUAUAUACUUUGGUGGAAUAUAGUUUCUGCGGUAAAUGGGUCAGCCUUUUAAACUUGUACAAUGUUUAUUAAAAAUAAAUCCCCAACACAUCAUACAUAAAAGUUCACAUAUACUUAAUAUGAGACUAAUUUCGAGGCUAAACAGAUAUGCGUGAAUAAAAGCGGCACAUGAGUGGCGAGUUGAGGGACAUUGUAUGGGGCCAAAAGGCUCAAAUGCAAGGCCACCUUGUGUGGUGUGUAGUUCCAGUGUGUGCUGCCUGUAUGACUUCUCUGUAUCAUCUUCCCUCUCUGUAGCAUGUCCUCACACCACAGGCCAAGUGUGUUCUGUGACUGGUAGAUACUUUGGUUAUUAGAGAACACUGUAUUGCAUCAUUUAAUUUUGCCAACGAUCCUGUGAAAGGUGUUAUUACUACCAGCUUAUCAAUGAAAAACUAUUUGCCUGGCCACGUUCUAACCAUGAGUCCUCCUGCUCCUCUGUCUGGCAGUAAUUCAGGAGGCCACUCUAGUAGUGUCCCUUCUGUCUCUGAAACCUCACACUUCCUAUGCUGCUGGAAUACUCUUGUGCAAGGCAUUACAUGGGUCUGUGCUUCCAUUUGUCCUGGUACCUACCUGAGAAUGGAGUUGCAGGACCAUAGGGCCGAGCAUGAUAAUUGUAUAAAAUCCCAAGAACACUUUCCAGAACGGCUACACCAGAAAUGGGUAAGGCUCCGCCCUACGAUACUCCCACUGACAUAAAGCUCCGCCCUGAGGCACUCCCACUGGCAUAAGGCUCUGCCCUGAGACACUCCCACUGACAUUUGGAUUGUUAUUCUUUUUCAUUUUUGUUUUUCUAUUCCUUGAUGACUUGGGAAUUUUAAUACCUUUUAAUGUGCCUUUUGGUCAUCGUUCUGUUGUAAGAUAUGUUUUGACCUUUUAUUCUCACAAUUUAUCAGGGCUUUAUUAAUGAAUUAUAAAGGAAUUUUUAACUUUUGGUAAUUAUUGGGGGCAGUAGUGCCAUGGUGCACUGCUGUGGAGGGCAGAGGACACUUGCAGGGGUUGACAGUCUCAUGUGGGUCUCAGGAUCAAGCUCAGGUGGCCAGUCUCAGCCACACACAGCUUGACCAACUCAGCUAUCUUGCUGGCCAUUUGAGGAUUUUUAUAUCCUGCAUACAAGUUCUUUGUCAACUAUGUAUAGACUAUGUAUAGAUUGCCUUUAGGAAAGGAAACGUUUUAAAUACAUGAGUUGGGGAAUGUUGAAUUUCCAACUCUUGCGCUUCUCCUCACCCCUCUCCCUGCUUUUGAGUUUUGAGGGAGUAUCUGCAGGUCAAGGAAUGUCGUAGACGGUCCAUGCUCCAGCUCUCGGGUCGUCACCUCUGCCCUCUGAGCCUUAUUUUUAUGAAGUCUAAAAUGGGGAUGUAAGUCGCCCGCCUCUUUGGGCUGCUGUGACAGUAACAUGACCUAGUGUCCAGCUCCUAGCAAAGAACAUCACAGCUGAGACAUGGUUGUCGGAUACCCUGUCACUAAGGCUAGCAAUGCCCCAGGCUCCUUCUGUCUCCCUCAGGAUAGAGAAAGCCUCAGCUUCCUUCCCUUGUGUAAGUGAAACCUUGGCCUCGCUUCUACACCCCACUUCCUGGUCACAAAAGGCUCUUAAAGGAGCCUCUUCCUCUGAGGGCCCAGAUAACUUCCUCUCCAUCUGACCAGCAUCAUCCUCCUGCCUCCACUUCCCUAUUGUCUACCCUGUGUGUUGCUGCUGCAAUUACCAAGCUGCCUUUCUAAACUAGAAACUUGGGGCUCCUGGGUAGGUGUUCAGGGGAGACUACUUUGUAAGGGCAAGGCUUGGUUAUAAAUGGUCUCACCUCUGAGUUUAACUAACAGGCUCUAUUCUUAGCCAACCAGCAGGUCCUUCUGCCUUACCUCCUAGAGCCUCCAUUGGGCCUCCCUGGCUGUCCUUACUAGAGACAGGCCAUUCCUUUGCCUUUGGCAGGGCCCAGUCCUUCCAUACGUGAUCAGAAAAUUCAAUUAUAAAGCCAAUUACCGAUUUCCUGAGCUUUACAAGGAGACAUGAAAGUUUGAUUAAGUUUGAAUUCCUCUGUGGCUAAUUGCCAGCCAAGGCCAACUAGGCUGUGGGGGACUUUUGUUCUUGAUUCUGGUUUUUUGUUUUGUGGCAGUGUUCCCGGGAUAGGGGAAAGGUUUUGUGUUGUGGUCUUUGUAGCCUCCUUACUUGCUGAAAGGCUCUUCCUCCGUUGUGAUGCAUGAGAUGUAAAUCCCCCAAAGACUCGUUACCAGGGUGACAGUCUCCGGAAUUGAGCUCAGCUAAACAAAGUCCUUCGGAUUUGAAGGGAACAGUGUUUAUUUCCCAUGCUAAGGCAAGCUCUAGUGCCCACAACAAGGCUGUGUUCAAGGACGCCUGCCUGCGUGAACAGGGACACAAAAGCAGCUCGCUGGUCCCCUCCUUGGCUGCAGCAGUGUGGCUGGGCUCUGGCUGCUUCCCACCCAACACAAAAGCACGGGCAGAUGCCGAGGCCACAGAGCAUGGCUUCAGAGGGUGCCUCCGACCAGAUGGUUCCCUGGCCCAAGAACCUGCAGCGCUGGCCCUCAGCCAGUGGCAGUCUGCUGAGUGCCAACAGCAAGGCGGAGGGUAGGUGGAGCUGGGGAGCCACCCUGUCCCUAGCAAUACACCUAGCUAUUUCAGCCACUUCUGGGAAAUGGAACUGGCCUGUGGUCAGAGCAGACUGGAGCUCCAUGUCAAUGUCUGUGUUGGCUCUGGGGUACCAUUUCUUCCCCUAGGAAUAGAAGGUGGUGACCCCCAGUUUUCUGGAAGUGGUUGCCAUCAUAGACCUCUUCUUGAAAGGUGUGUGUUAUCUAAGAAACUCAAAACUACUGCCCAUGAAAUUCCCCACAUAGAGAUAGAGCCCUUUGUCUUUUCUAAGCGUGUAGGGUUCUAGAGCUCUGCUUAAAGUCCUAGUACCCCUGGAAGAAGAAACACCUACCCACAAAACAUUAACCCUCGGUUAGUGGGCACUAAGGACAAAGCCCAACAUGGGUCAGAUAAACCUCACCUCCCUCUAAGCUCCAUUGAGUCCCAAACUUGUGACUUCUUACCUCAGAUAUCCUUGGCAGUGCCCCACAAAGCAUCCUGCCUUUUCUCCUCAUCCACACAGCAACCUCAAGAGUCAGAGUCUUAAGUACAGGCAAGGAAGCCAUGGGUCAGAGUGGCCAGCCACUUUGCCCAGCCUCACCCAGCCGCCCACUGCAUGGAUGUCUUGGGCACAGUACACCUGCUUGCUUUGAUUGGCUUGUUUGUGUACAUGUCUGUUUGUUUUAGGAGGUGAGAAUUUUUGCAAAGUCUGAAUUUGGGUGUUGGGUUUUUUUUUUCUUUUUUAAUGAAACUGUACAGCUUCCUAGUAGAGUUGUAAUUAGGAAAUGCUGUGUUAGUCAGCAAGGCAGAAUUGAAAAAUAACCAGGCAGUGCUAGAUGGGGUGCUUUCCCCCCUCCUUAGAAAUUUCAGUUUUGCCACACUGGGGGAGAGGGAGUUGUGAAGAGAGGGAAGAUGCGUGCGGCUGAGCAGGACGGCGGCGGCGGAGGCUGUGCUCCUGCUUUCUACAGAGUUCAAAAGCAACAAGAAUCCUUGUGAGGGCUACUUUUCCUAUCUGUCAAACAGGGGUGAGGUGAGGAGGGAGCAGGUGAAGGAGGAGGCUAGGAGGCCAGGCCUCUCUUUGUCAGGAAGGGAUAGGUAACUGCAGGGAACCCUAUCAUCACCUCGGUACCAGCAAGCCAGUGGCACUGGGAAAGGCCACAGCAGCACCUACAUGCUGAGCGUAUAUAUGCCAGGCAGUGUGCCAGGGACCCUGUUUCUGGUUUUAUCCCAGCCAACAGGCUCCAUUUAAUCGCCAUAUGUUUAUCUUAGUGUGAAUCCAAGAAAUAAUAAUUGUGCAAGGUAUGGACUUGAACUUUGUUUAAAGUGAGUUAGAUAAAUGAAACAUCUUAAGAAUGUGAGGGCCUGUGGCAUCUCACAGAUGGAGCAGAUAUUCUGGCAUAGGGCCAGAAAGGUCUUGGAUGCUGGGGAAACUCACCAUAUUCCCCCCAGUUAUGGAAAAGGAGCCUGAAGCUCAGAAAGACUGAGCAACAAAUGUGACCUAGCUGAUAGCUAGCACAGCCAACACUCGACUCUGCAGAUCAGAUGAGAGCCCAGGGCCCAGGUAAACGUUCUCAUCUUUGCUGUGCCCUGGCUUCCACCUUCCCAGAGCUGCCCACUGCAGAGAUCCUUUUUUUUUUCCUCUUAUGACGCAAACCAUGCUCUGGGGAGUUGGGGCCUGAGUCGUGCUUCCUCUGAACCAAUGCACAGGAUCCACUGAAAAGCCCUUUCAGAAGGGGCUGGCAUGAUGCUGCAUGUGCCUGGCAGAGCUGUGGUUGCCAAGCAUUGACUGAGCCACCAUGGUUCCACACAACCCAAAGGGGCCUGUCCUUUCUUCCCUGGUCUCUGCAUCUAUUACUCCCUCUCUUGUCUCUGAAUGACUUUUGAUAAUGAGCUAUGCACUUGAUACAUCAAAUAACUCGGGGUUUUUUUAAACGCCUCUUUCUGUAAACUGUAACCUCCAAGCUACGCUCCCAGCUAAUUGUGCAGAGCUGGCCACAUUUUUAAAUGUGCACUGGGCUCUAGCCGAGGGCCAGCUCCGCCCAGAGCAGCAGGUGGGGAAAGGGCAUUUUCAGCAGGAUGGAAAUCAGUUGGUACACAAGCAGCUCAGCCAGGUUUACGGCCCUGCUGGGGGGAAAUCAGCACAGCUUACCUGAGGAGGGAGCGUUCGCCGGAGCCCAGAAUCCUUUCAGAUGCCCACAUUUUAUAAUUGAGCAGGAUAGAUCUAACCUGGGGUUCUAAGGCUACAAGCCCCAAAAUGAAAAUCGGGUGAGUGUGGGUACACAUAUGUACGUGUGCCUCAACUUUUCUGAGACUUAACUGACUAAACUUUGAGACUGAGGCCUUCCUCUCAUCCCAAAAGUGGCUGCCUGAGUACCCACUUGGCUCUCAGCCACAACACACCUGUAGCUAGCUGUACAGCCCAGAGCAACUGCCACCCACCGACUGCUCUGCGGGCUCCCCUGUCCGCAGUGGCUUCUGUUCCUUUAGCCCUCACAGCACCUAGAGCCCUUCAGAGCUUACAGUGAGUGGGAAUGCUGACAUUUGGGGAGUCGCACAGUCUGAGGCAGAGUCGGGAUGGAAAUCUAAGAUGACCUACCUCCAGCUUCCUCACUGGGUGUAUCUGAUAAAUGAGGCAUGUUAGAAACAUGAUGAUACGGAAUGAACAGAAAGGAAUACAGGUUGGGAAGCUUGUCUGCAUGCCUUUGUGAACCAGAAAAUGCAGUUAUCCUCAUCCAAAAAAUGGGUUGAUGCCUUUGAGCGCAUCCCUGAAAAGCAAAUGAUAAUACUCGGAGGUGAGUGCGAAGAUUACCUGAGACCGGGAGCUUGAGCCCACCAGCCUCUUAUGUAAGCUGCCUUCAGAGUUGCCAACUGACCCAACAACAAGAGGAAUGUUUCUGAAACAUUAUGUUACAAAUGAGCUUGACUUUCUCCCACUGAUUUCAGCACUGCAGCACUGCACAGUUUUAGUUUUAGGCCCCAGGUCCCUGACAUACUAGUGUUGGCCUGCCUUCUCCCAAGUGGCCAGUCUCACCCACCCCCACCCCUAACCCCCAACCCCACCCCCAACCCCACCCCCAGUGCAAGGACCGAAUCCCUCAGGUUCCCAAGUGCUCUACUGUUAGCCCAGACUGUGUGAGUACAACUGACUUGGCAGACAGGGAACAAGAGCUCAGUGGUCCAGACAGCAGAGCUUGGGGCCAGCAUAGAGCACUGCACCAGAUCGGACUCUGCCUUUGUUACACUGUUAAACUGCUUCCUUGGCCUCCAGCAAUCACAGUCCUCUGUGAGCAGAUCCCGGUGACUUGAGUUUUCUUGUGAAGAUUCCGCUGUAUCCAGAGGAGACGUGGCGGCCCCCUCCCCUUCCCCCUGCCUCAGAUUCCCUUUAUGUCUGCAGGCAGCCGUCUCCCUCCUCUAUUCUUCUUUGCACUUAGCAACCAUCUUUUCCCAAGGCUGCUUGUCAUCUGCGCCUAUGUCCUCCCAUAUAUCUCCAGUGUCUUCACACCACCGGUGGCUAAGCAGAGAUCCUUUUCCUCUGAUCUGGGGUGAUGCCCCAGAAGAGAAGGCAGAGGAAAGCAACCUGCUAUGGCUACUUAUGUGACUUCACCUUUGCUCUUACUGUGCCAGCUCUAGCCAUGGCUCAGGUAGGAUACAUCAGAAAGACUCAGACUCUGCCUUCUCAGUCUUUUCAAGGCUUAGACACAGAAACUCAUCCCCCAACCAAUUGGUGUGAUUCAGAGCCCAGUGUGAUACUCCGAGGAAAGCUAGGUGUUGACGCAGAUAAUCUGAACCAGACUCCACCAGUGUCUCCAGCCUUGCAGAGUGUCACAGGUGUGCCUGAGGAACCACCUCCAGUCAUUUCCUGAGUGGCAGACCCAAAGGAGGAGAAAAUUGAGAAGUAUCAAGAAGGGGCGGAGCUUGAGUGUGCAUCCAGAUGGUGAGGCCCUCUGGAGCAGGCAGCUCCUCGGACACUCAGAUACCUAAAGCACUUGCACAGGGGCAGCAGCAUAAUGAUGAUGGACAGUAACUUCAGAGAUGCUCCAAAAUAACUAAAUCCAGAGUGGCUUGCUUUGGCUUCUGCUCUCCUCCUGACCACCACCCUCCAUCCUUGAGGGUUGCUGUUUCUCAUAGUGUUAAGCUUCUCCUCUGCAUCUUCUCUGCAUGAAUGGAUUAAGCCUCGAGCUAAAGAAGCUGCAGCCUCUGUCUAGUGCAGUUCCUUCAUUCCAUAGACAUGUGAUAGGGGAACCUAAAGUCUCCUAAUCCUCGGGUUCAAUGUUUUUUUCAACCUUUCUUUACCAUAUUCAUUCAACAAAUGUUUAUCACUUACUAUGUGUCUGACUUAUUGGAUACAAGAGGGUGCCCAGUGUGGGCAUUCUGGUGGAGGGGAAUAGACUGUAGGUACAACCCACAGAGGGUAGAGGCCACACUCAGUGCCACGUCAACAGAGAGGAACAGAGGUUCUCAGCCCAGACAUUUGUGAGCCCCUGUCUGGAAUCUCUUUGAUUCUCAGUGCCUUUGCCUAGAGUUUUAGAGGCCCAAGUUCUCUGCUGAAUUCCAGUCUUCUCUCAGGGCUGCUGAAGACCUGGGGCUACCAAGGCAAGUGGGUCACUGGCCCUGCUUCAGGCUGCUAGUCCUGUAGUGUUGUUGAGCCCCAUAGGACACUCGCACCAGUGAAGACAAUGGGUACGAUAGAUGAUGGAACUUGAAGUUGAGCUUAACUUUCCAGUUCCUGAGGGAAGAAGGAGCCUCCGGACUAAUUACACAAUUAGACUCAAAGAUCGUUUUGUGGGUUUCUCUGGGGAAGGGCAGAUAUAGGCAAACCCUUUACACCUCCCUGAUCACAUACUGUCUGCAGGCUGCAUUUUCAAUACUCUAAUCCAGAUGACUUACGAGGAGUACUAAAGGGUCUGAAAUUCAGAUAGGAAACCCAGAACCUCGAGGCCGACCAUCCUGUGCCGUACAUGACUCACUUCUAUAGCGUCCCGUGCCACCCACUUCAGACAGCACAAGCUGAAGGCCUGCUGUGCCCACACAUGCAGGCUGCACCCAUGUGGCUGUGCCACUGUGUCAGUCACACGUAGAUGCCAAGGGAAGACACUCCCACCUCUGCUGGAACACACCCAGCAUCCUUCUCCAAGUGCUCUCGAGGUAUCAGGACAGCCAGGAGUCCUAGAGUCCCGGUUCUGGUUACCAGUGACGUCAGCUCCCCUCAUGGCUUAGCUGCUAGUCUGGGUAAACUAGCAAACCUUGAGAAUGAAUUCUGGGCCGUUCCUCCUCUGCCUCUUGCCUCCAGCUCACCCUGUCACUGCCUGGCCCGCUAAGGACAAAGUACUGGCAUUUGGCACCCAUCUCAGCUCAUGGCCUGGAAUACAUCCAUUCACGAAGCAGUACCUCCUGACUGAAACAGCAGUGAGCAUAGCUGAAGUGGGCCCAGCCCUCGCAGGGCUUAGCAGCUCCCUGGGAAGAGAAAGAGUCAGCAAGGAGACAAGACUGUUUGUUUACAUGCUGUGAUUGAUGGUUCAUUUAAAGAAACAAAAAGAGUGCUAAAAGUAGCGAUAUCUGCUUUUGGUAGUUUAGGGAAUGGGUACAGGGAAAUCCAGAAUUACCCUUCUCUUCUAAGUUCUCUUUAGACUGAGACAAAGAAGAGGAGUUGACUCUUGCAGCCUGGAGAUCAAGGAAGAGCUGGUGCAAAGGCCAGGAGCUCUGUCUGGCGGUUUCUGGACUGGCAUCAGGGGUCCGUGCAAAGUCUGCAGAUAGGUGGGGUGGUUGGAGAGUGGCUGUGAGUGAGACACAGGGGAGAUGAGACUCCAGAGCCUGCCUGGCCUGUGCAUCGAGCACAGGAUGACGUCAUGGCCCAUCUUAAGGAGGGGUCUUAGGAACUGUGUUGGUCUUAAGUUGGUCCAAGUCCUACAAAUCCGAGACUUGAAUGACUGACAUUUAUUGUCUCGUAUGUAAUACUAGAGGCCAGAAAUCAGCGAUCACGAUGGCAACAGGCCUGGGUCUCCUGUGAUUUUCAUCAGUGAGCUGUAGAUGAUCAUCUUGUGCCUGUAUUUUCAUGAGGUCUUCCUUCUUUAUGCAUCUGUGUCUUAGUCUCUCACAAGAUGACGACCUUCCUUCAUGGUCUCAGCCAGAGCACCUCUUUAAAGAUGGAAUCCCACAAUACAAUUGUAUUGUGCAUUAGUGGGGAUGGGCAUCAUGGCAUAGGAAUUUUAGGAACACUUGAGUCAGCUUCUAAAGGUCUUCCCUAGCGCAUCCAUGGCAGAUGAGGUAGAGAAAUGGCCACGGCACCUCAGGAAGCCACAGGAGACCAGCUUCAAAGCUCCCUGCUCCCUCUUUGUAAGACUAAGGAGGGAUAGGACACCCGGCCCCAGCUACCCCAGCUUCUUCUCUGCCCACCCAUGGCAUGGCCCUGUGUCCAAGAAAUGCCAUGAGUGUGUGCUGAAUUCGGUAGUGACCUCACAGCCCCUCCAGCUGGGUUUCUGCAAGCUCUGGUGCUGGUGGACAGCCUACUCCAACUGCUGAGCCUCAGGUCAGGCCUCUAGUUACUCUCUCCACCAUACACUGAAGAUAAAAAUAGCUACAAGGAAGAAAAGGCCUUCAGGAAAUUACCCUGAAAUUCAGAAAACACGAAGCCAGGUGCCAUCUAAUUAAGAUGACAUUUUAAAA